GAAUCGUUGUCAACUCUGCAUGUCACGGGUAAAAAGAAAGGCAGAUCCAUAUCUUUUUAUUGUGGCUCUGAUAUAUCAUAUGAUCCGAUUCUGCCUUCAUCACAAAAGAUACAAGUUUGCAUUUAUGAUUUUACUUGAAUGCCCCUAGCCACCUUAACCCUGUUUUGUUUCAUAUGUACAUUAAAAGUCCAAAAAUAUUAAUUCAUUUCAAAAACCAUAAAGCCAACACAAUCUCCCCUCCAUCCUCUCUCACUUCCCUUUCAACUGUUGAUGAUCAGAAAGCUCCCUUUGAACCCAUUACCUCCACGAGAAAAUCAUUCCUCUCUAGAUCCACUGAAUUUGCUACCAAAAACCAUGUCUAUUAAUAACUACAAAUCUCUCUUAAUCUCCAUCAAAAAUUCAGAAUAACAGGAGAAAAAAAAAUUCAACACAAUUUGUCACUAACAAAUAAUUAUUGGGACUUUGGUUAGUGGUUAGCCCUCCAAUCAACAUCUUCCAAGGUGUUCUUGUUGCAAUCAUGGCGAUUUAAAAACACAAAUCACCUAUUAUACAUGGACAAAAGAGAAGAAAGAGGAAGAGAGCAGGGACAGUAAAAAGAGAGGAGGUACUGUUCAUGGGAGAUACACAUCACAGGAUACGGGAUUUGUGGAAUAGGUUUUAGAGAGGGAUCAAAUUUUACCGAUCACUACUUUUGUGUGCGCUUGAAUUUCUUUCUUUUUUUCACAAUUGAUCGUUCUCAGCAGAGAUAAUAUAUGCAGUUAGGUUCUUAUUUGUAUGUACUUUUUUAUUUGUAUCUAACUACUACUAGUAACUUUAUUUAACAUUUACCAUUUAAAAUUACUACUUUCAGCUUAUGUUUUGAUUUUCUUGUAUUUUCUAAUUUCUAAUUAUUUAUUUGACAAUAAGAAAGUUAAUGACAAUUUAAAAUUGAAAAAAAUUAUGAUACAUAGAGAGUAACUAGUAGCAUCCUAUUAAUUACUACAUUUUAUCCACUUUGAAGAAAGUAAGACAUGUAGGAGAAAGAAUAAAAUCCAAAAUUCACUAAAAGUGAUAAAAAUAUCUCAAACUAGGAUUUAUAUCUCCUUGUAUCUAUCUCUUUAUUCAAAGUAGAUCCUAGAAAGUAAAUAAUAGAAUGUUACCAAUUACUCCCAAACACCAUAAAAUUUAUGAUUUAAAAUCUAAUAAAUUCAUUUAAUUAAAAUGUUAAUUAUAUUUAUUGACCAAAAAACCCUCAAAAAUUUUUGGUGACCAAUCAAAGUUGACCCAUAAUUCUUCCAAUCAAUGCUCGCUACAUAAGGGUUAGAGAACUUGCACAUGUUUAGAGUCGACAUCAAUUGGAUGGAAACCUAGGUUUAGUUAAUAACGGACCUGAUUAAAUUCCCAAUUUUGUUCAAGGACUAUUGGCAUUGAGUAAUUGGCUAGGCACAUUUUAGUCCCAAAAAAGUAGAUUUUAUAUAAAAAUUUUAUAUUACUAUUAUUUGCUAAAGAUAAGCUUACAACCUGUCAUCUUCUCAAAUCACAGAACCACUGUGCAUAUGUCCCACCAUCACCACCAUGAAA